GGCCAGCACUCUGGAAAGCUCCUGAGUAGAGAAGCAGGGUCUUCUCUUGGGGGGUAUGGGGUCCAGGUCCAUUAGCUGUCAUAAACAAGCCAGCCCCAGUCGUGGUGGGGUAUGUGGAGUCCGGUGGCAGCAUGAAGAGGGUAAGUCACGAGCAUCCAUUGUGUCUGGGAGUGGCUGAGAAGUGUCAGCUGAGCAGACCUGGGAAGCAGAGAAAGGGGCUCGAGGAUCUGGAAUUGGGAGUCUCUUGGAUAAACUCUGAGGGGAAUAGGUAUGGAGGAGGUAUAGCUGUCCUGAAACUCACUCUGUAGACCCGGCUGGGAUUGAAAUAAGUGAUCUGCCUGCUUCUGCCUCCUGGGUGCUUGGAUUAAAGGUGUGUGGUAUGUGCUACCACUGCCUGCCCCGCCCCUUUUUCUUAUUGCACAACAAAACUUCUAUUAAUAUUUUUAAAAGAGGUUCAACUAUUGCUCAAACUUGCAAUUUCUAAAUGUGAUUUAGGGCAAAUGAACCAGUAAACGGGUGAAUGAACAUUAAG